rnacentral:rRNA from 1 species
UAAGCUACUAAGGGCACAUGGUGGAUGCCUAGGCAGCAAGAGGCGAUGAAGGACGUAGGAGCCUGCGAAAAGCCUCGGGGAGCGGGCAAGCACGCUAUGAUCCGAGGAUGUCCGAAUGGGGAAACCCGGCUCGGAGAACCGAGUCACCCGCAAGGGAGCCAACCCAGGGAACUGAAACAUCUAAGUACCUGGUGGAAAGGAAAUCAAUAGAGACUCCGUCAGUAGCGGCGAGCGAACGCGGAAAAGCCCAAACCGUCCCAGGUUUCUGGGGCGGGGUUGUAGGACCUACACAACGGUACAUGCAAGGCUAGCAGAAGUGGUUGGAAAGCCACGGCACAGAGGGUGACACCCCCGUAUGCGAAAGUUGAGCAUGGCCAGUAGGAUUCCUGAGUACCCUCGGGCACGUGAAACCCGGGGGGAAUCUGGGAGGACCAUCUUCCAAGGCUAAGUACUACUUGCUGACCGAUAGUGAACAAGUACCGUGAGGGAAAGGUGAAAAGAACGCCGAGAAGGCGAGUGAAAUAGUACCUGAAACCGUGUGCUUACAAGCGGUCGGAGCUGCAUUUAUGUAGUGACGGCGUGCCUUUUGUAUAAUGAGCCUACGAGUUGCUCCUGUUGUGCGAGGUUAAGCCCCUAAGGGGUGGAGCCGUAGCGAAAGCGAGUCUGAAUAGGGCGUUUGUCAGUGUUUAUAGACCCGAACCCGGGUGAUCUAACCAUGGCCAGGAUGAAGCUUGGGUGAUACCAAGUGGAGGUCCGAACCGACUGAUGUUGAAAAAUCAGCGGAUGAGCUGUGGUUAGGGGUGAAAUGCCAAUCGAACCCGGAGCUAGCUGGUUCUCCCCGAAAUACGUUGAGGCGUAGCGUCUCGUGCUCCAGCAGGGGGGUAAAGCCACCAUUUCGGUGCGGGCUGCGAGAGCGGUACCAAAUCGAGAUGAACUCUGAAUACCCUGUGUGUAGCGAGGCAGUCAGACUGUGGGGGAUAAGCUCCAUGGUCGAGAGGGAAACAGCCCAGACCGCCAGCUAAGGUCCCCAAAUCAACACUAAGUGAUAAAGGAGGUGGGAUUGCCCAGACAACCAGGAGGUUUGCCUAGAAGCAGCCAUCCUCAAAGGAGUGCGUAAUAGCUCACUGGUCGAGCGAUCCUGCGCCGAAAAUGAAUGGGGCUAAGUGUUGUACCGAAGCUGCGGAUUUAUGGUAGGGGAGCGUUCUAUGUGGGGCGAAGCGUUAGCGUGAGCGGGCGUGGACUGCAUAGAAGUGAGAAUGUCGGCUUGAGUAGCGAAAACAUGGGUGAGAAUCCCAUGCACCGAAACCCUAAGGGUUCCUCCGGCAGGUUCGUCCGCGGAGGGUUAGUCAGGACCUAAGGCGAGGCCAAACGGCGUAGUCGAUGGACAACGGGUAAUUAAUCCCGUACUGAUAUGGAUUUGUGCAGAGGGACGGAGAAGGCAUGAGCCAGCCGGAUGUUGGUUACCGGUGCAAGCGUUUGAGGCGUUGAGGAGUGGAGAAAACAUUCCGAGCUGAGGCGUGAGUCCGAGGUGAUACGUCACCGAAGUGGUAGCAGUCAAGCUUCCAAGAAAAGCUCCAAGCACGUUAAGUCCAUGUUACCUGUACCCGAAACCGACACAGGUAGGGAGGUUGAGAAUACCAAGGGGCGCGAGAUAACUCUCUCUAAGGAACUCGGCAAAAUGGCCCCGUAACUUCGGAAGAAGGGGUGCCCACCUAAGACGUGGGUCGCAGUGAAGAGAUCCAGGCGACUGUUUACCAAAAACACAGGUCUCCGC